rnacentral:rRNA from 1 species
UACGUAGGGUGCAAGCGUUGUCCGGAAUUAUUGGGCGUAAAGAGCUCGUAGGCGGUUUGUCGCGUCUGCUGUGAAAACGCGAGGCUCAACCUCGCGCCUGCAGUGGGUACGGGCAGACUAGAGUGUGGUAGGGGAGAUUGGAAUUCCUGGUGUAGCGGUGGAAUGCGCAGAUAUCAGGAGGAACACCGGUGGCGAAGGCGGUUCUCUGGGCCUUACCUGACACUGAGGAGCGAAAGCGUGGGGAGCGAACAGG